AUAGCUACUUGUUUUGACACAUAGUUAUUUGUUUUGACACAUAGCUACUUGUUUUGUGCUUUUAUAUGUAUAUUAUGAUAAAACGAAUUAUACAUGGUAACCGAUAUGGAAGAAGAGGGAAACGUAGGUCAGCCUGAAACAAGUACGAGGUGCUUAGUACAUUUAGAGCGAAUAGAAGAAAACGAAAAUAAUUACAUAAAUGUAAUAUUAGAUUUUAAAAAAUUAAAACUACAGAAUGAAAAAGAAUUUGCGUAUGAAAUAAGUUUAUCUAACAAAUAUCUAUUAAAUGAGUUGGAAAAAAUAAAAAAGAAAUUAAAAGAAAUGAUGGAAAAAGAAAAUAAGUUAACAAGGUAUGUAAAAAAUAAAAAAAAGGAUGUAUACAAUGACUCCUGUAGUAGUAGUAACAGUAGCAGUAGUAGUAGUAGUAGUAGUAGUAGUAGUAGUAGUAGUAGUAGCAAUUGUGGUGAUAUAAAAGUUAAUUUAAAUGUUAUGUGGGAAUUAGACUUAUCAUGUAAUUGCUUUACUGAAAUAAAUGUUGACACAAUUAUGUCAACUCUUAUAAAAUAUAAAAUAGUAAAUGAUAAAACAGUAUUAAAAGUGAGCAAUUUAAAAUCAUUAAAUAUUAGAAAAAACUGUUUGAAAUAUUUCCCUUAUAUGUCUAAAUACGAAUUUAAAAAUUUGGAUUUGCUAUGUUUGUCGCACAAUUUGCUUAUGUACAUAAGUGAGAAAGAGGAAAAGAAAGAAGAGGUAGAUAAUGUGGAUAAGGAAAAGGACGAUAAAGGUGUUAACGAUAUGGAAAAAAAUGAUAUAUUAAAAAAAAAUGGUAUAUUAAAAAAAAAUGGUAUAUUAAAUAAAAGUGCCCCUUUUUUAAACAAACUAUAUUUGCAAAAUAAUAAAAUUAAUUCAUUAACAUACUUAGAAUGGUUGUUAAAUCAUCACAAUAACAUAACACAUAUAAAUAUUAGUUUUAAUAAAAUAACUUUAUUUUCUUACCUUCCUUACUUAAAAAAUUUGCAAUAUUUUAAUUUAUCAUUCAAUAAUAUAUCACUAUACAAUAAUGAAGAAAAUAAAAAAACAACGAACGUAGAGAACGUAGAGAACGUAGAGAACGUAGAGAACGUAGAGAAAAUAGAGAACAACAUCGAAGCAGAAGAGAAAAUAUUUUCUUUAAAAAAUACAGAAAAUCAUAAUAAUUUUGAAAAAGAAGAUUUGGUAUAUUACCAAUUUUUAACUCAAUUAAAAAAUAGCUUUCCGAAUUUACAAAACAUUAAUAUAAAAUAUACUCCAAUGUAUGAUAAAAUGAAAAACUGCAUAAAAAAAAAAUAAAGAACUUAUUUUUUGUUCUUAUUGACAAAACGUCCUUUUAAUGCUACUGUUGCGUUUAAAACAUGUGAUUUAUUCACAUACACACAUGAAAAACAAUGCCUAGUAUUUUAUAUUUGUAUUGGUGU
rnacentral:lncRNA from 1 species